rnacentral:rRNA from 1 species
UACGGAGGAUCCAAGCGUUAUCCGGAUUUAUUGGGUUUAAAGGGUGCGUAGGCGGCCUGGUAAGUCAGGGGUGAAAGACGGUAGCUCAACUAUCGCAGUGCCUUUGAUACUGCCGGGCUUGAAUGCAGCUGAGGUAGGCGGAAUGUGACAAGUAGCGGUGAAAUGCAUAGAUAUGUCACAGAACACCGAUUGCGAAGGCAGCUUACUAUGGUUUUAUUGACACUGAGGCACGAAAGCGUGGGGAUCAAACAGG